rnacentral:rRNA from 1 species
GACGAGCGCUUGCGGCGUGCUUAACACAUGCAAGUCGAACGGAAAGGCCCUGCUUUUGUGGGGUGCUCGAGUGGCGAACGGGUGAGUAACACGUGAGUAACCUGCCCUUGACUUUGGGAUAACUUCAGGAAACUGGGGCUAAUACCGGAUAGGAGCUCCUGCUGCAUGGUGGGGGUUGGAAAGUUUCGGCGGUUGGGGAUGGACUCGCGGCUUAUCAGCUUGUUGGUGGGGUAGUGGCUUACCAAGGCUUUGACGGGUAGCCGGCCUGAGAGGGUGACCGGCCACAUUGGGACUGAGAUACGGCCCAGACUCCUACGGGAGGCAGCAGUGGGGAAUAUUGCACAAUGGGCGGAAGCCUGAUGCAGCAACGCCGCGUGCGGGAUGACGGCCUUCGGGUUGUAAACCGCUUUCGCCUGUGACGAAGCGUGAGUGACGGUAAUGGGUAAAGAAGCACCGGCUAACUACGUGCCAGCAGCCGCGGUGAUACGUAGGGUGCGAGCGUUGUCCGGAUUUAUUGGGCGUAAAGGGCUCGUAGGUGGUUGAUCGCGUCGGAAGUGUAAUCUUGGGGCUUAACCCUGAGCGUGCUUUCGAUACGGGUUGACUUGAGGAAGGUAGGGGAGAAUGGAAUUCCUGGUGGAGCGGUGGAAUGCGCAGAUAUCAGGAGGAACACCAGUGGCGAAGGCGGUUCUCUGGGCCUUUCCUGACGCUGAGGAGCGAAAGCGUGGGGAGCGAACAGGCUUAGAUACCCUGGUAGUCCACGCUGUAAACGGUGGGUACUAGGUGUGGGGUCCAUUCCACGGGUUCCGUGCCGUAGCUAACGCUUUAAGUACCCCGCCUGGGGAGUACGGCCGCAAGGCUAAAACUCAAAGGAAUUGACGGGGCCCCGCACAAGCGGCGGAGCAUGCGGAUUAAUUCGAUGCAACGCGUAGAACCUUACCUGGGUUUGACAUGGAUCGGGAGUGCUCAGAGAUGGGUGUGCCUCUUUUGGGGUCGGUUCACAGGUGGUGCAUGCCUGUCGUCAGCUCGUGUCGUGAGAUGUUGGGUUAAGUCCCGCAACGAGCGCAACCCUUGUUCACUGUUGCCAGCACGUUAUGGUGGGGACUCAGUGGAGACCGCCGGGGUCAACUCGGAGGAAGGUGGGGAUGACGUCAAGUCCUCAUGCCCCUUAUGUCCAGGGCUUCACGCAUGCUACAAUGGCUGGUACAGAGAGUGGCGAGCCUGUGAGGGUGAGCGAAUCUCGGAAAGCCGGUCUCAGUUCGGAUUGGGGUCUGCAACUCGACCUCAUGAAGUCGGAGUCGCUAGUAAUCGCAGAUCAGCAACGCUGCGGUGAAUACGUUCCCGGGGCC